UCUCCGUAGGUGAACCUGCGGAGGGAUCAUUACAGAGUUCAUGCCCUACCGGGUAGAUCUCCCACCCUAUGUUAUUAUUACUUUGUUGCUUUGGCGGGCCGUUAGGCUCCGGCCCGACUACCGGCCCCGGCUGGUAAGCGCCCGCCAGAGGACCCAAAACCCUGAAUAUUAAUGUCAUCUGAGUACUAUAUAAUAGUUAAAACUUUCAACAACGGAUCUCUUGGUUCUG
rnacentral:misc_RNA from 1 species